UACCCUGUAGAACCGAAUUUGU
rnacentral:ncRNA from 57 species